rnacentral:rRNA from 1 species
GCCCGAUUGCCGACCUGCAGUAGGGGCCUCGGCCCCAAAGGCACGUGUCGUUGGUGAAGCCCUCGCGGCGGACGAGCCGCGCGGGCCGCCUUGAAGUUUAAUUUCCACCGAGCGGCGGGUAGAAUCCUUUGCAGACGACUUAAAUACGCGACGGGGUAUUGUAAGUGGCAGAGUGGCCUUGCUGCCACGAUCCACUGAGA